rnacentral:rRNA from 1 species
UACGGAGGGGGCGAGCGUUGUUCGGAUUUAUUGGGCGUAAAGAGCUCGUAGGCGGUUUGUUGCGUCGGCUGUGAAAUCCCGAGGCUCAACCUCGGGUCUGCAGUCGAUACGAGCAAACUAGAGUGUUGCAGGGGAGACUGGAAUUCCUGGUGUAGCGGUGAAAUGCGCAGAUAUCAGGAGGAACACCGGUGGCGAAGGCGGGUCUCUGGGCAACAACUGACGCUGAGGAGCGAAAGCGUGGGGAGCGAACAGG